rnacentral:rRNA from 1 species
AUUGAACGCUGGCGGCAUGCUUUACACAUGCAAGUCGAACGGUAACAGGCCUUCGGGUGCUGACGAGUGGCGGACGGGUGAGUAAUGCAUCGGAACGUACCCAGAGGUGGGGGAUAACGCAGCGAAAGCUGUGCUAAUACCGCAUGUGAUCUGAGGAUGAAAGCGGGGGACCGAGCAGCAAUGUUUGGCCUCGCGCCUUUGGAGCGGCCGAUGUCGGAUUAGCUAGUUGGUGGGGUAAAGGCCUACCAAGGCGACGAUCCGUAGCUGGUCUGAGAGGACGACCAGCCACACUGGAACUGAGACACGGCCCAGACUCCUACGGGAGGCAGCAGUGGGGAAUUUUGGACAAUGGGCGCAAGCCUGAUCCAGCAAUGCCGCGUGCGGGAAGAAGGCCUUCGGGUUGUAAACCGCUUUUGGCAGGAACGAAACGGUGUCCGCUAAUACCGGGCGGUAAUGACGGUACCUGCAGAAUAAGCACCGGCUAACUACGUG